rnacentral:lncRNA from 1 species
GAAAACUUCAUCGCCUCCAAGUCAAAAUAUGGACAAUUUUAUGUUUAGGGCGUCUUGAAAUCUUUUGACAGCUUCCGAAGUGCUAAUUUUUAACCUUUUUCAGCUGGACCAAAUCACUACUUUCCUUUAAAAUUCUGGACCCAAAAUUUUUUAAAAGUGUAAUUUCACCCACCUACUUCCAAUUUGAGGCAUCAAACAUGGAGAAAUAAAUUUGGAAGGGGUAUGAAAAAUAUUGGCAAGUAACCCACUGUCAACACUAGGGACUAUAUUCGUGAACAACUAAAAUCAAGGGACAACAAUUGUGGUCUCGGACCUAAUAUGUGUGCUUUAUGCUAAAGAUAAAGGGUCUCCAGUCAAAACAUGACCUUUUCUAUUUGCUUGACUGUUUAAACAUAUAAAUUAUUUAUUUUACUUCAGUUCAAAAUCUUUUACAUUCUCGUCAUCUUUUGGUGAUGCUGGAUAUCAUGUUAUCAGGGUUAUAACCAAUUAAAAGCUUCUGUUAAUUGGACAGAAUUAUGCAUCUUCAUAUCUCAAAUUUACAGAAAUACAUAUAUAAAACAAUUGUGAAGGGUGAUGGAUCAUGGAGUUAUCUCCCAUGUAGCAAUAUAAAAUACGUUUCUAAAGCAAAGUUAGGCCAUUCUAUUCCUCUUUCAAAAUUAGUAGAUCUGCUUUUUUUUCUAAAUUUUAAAGAGUAAUGGGAGACUUGUCCAUUUAGCCAGCUUCUUAAUGCAGCUUAAAGCAAACCUGGAAUAUUGCUAUAUAAAACCUAAUUGUUUUCUCUCUAGUUUUAUUCACAGGAGGGAGUUGGUGCGUUUGGUAUUUGGAGGCAACAAUGCAUGUUAUUUUCUUUUACAACAUGUGUUUUCUCUGUUAAAAAAUGGUACACAAUUUUUGUAUUUUUUUUUGGAUUUUCAAAUACCUGAUAAUAAUAGCUAAUAUCUCUAAGAGACAACAUAUGUAGAGUUCAUUUGUUAUUAGAAAUUUUAUAAAGGACCAUAUAUAUUUUUUGAAUAUUUCAAAUAGAAAAAAAUGCAACGAAAUUAUGAAAAGGUUACUUAGAAUUUCAUUUUAGGAAAAUGUAAUCGUGAUAAUUUAUAAAAUUAUUUUUAUAAUGUUUUUGUUUGUGAUAUCUGACAUUCAUUUUCAGGGUAUAUAUUUUACGGAUAGCAAUGAUGAGAUUAUUUAGCUUUUAUUUUUUUCUAGGUAUAUGAACAAACUAUCUUACAGUUUUAUUGGUGAUUUGUUAUAUUCUAUUUUUCAUGCUUAAGGUGGUACCUAACACUACAGGGAGAUAACUCUGUAAAAUCAGCUAAAUGUUUUAAUUACGUUGUGUCGUUGAGGGAAUAUUAAGCUUCUCAAUGAUCUCAGUUAGUAUUUGUCAAACUGCUAUAUAACCAGUGUAAUUUUUUUGAUAGAAUAGUUGGUUCAAAUUUUUUGAAAUUUUUAUAUAUUUUGUCAAAUGGUCAAAGUAAAUUCUUUUUCAAAAUUUUAUGAAAAUUAAAGGAGCCAAAUUAAUUUUAGUGAAGGUGUAAGGUACCACCUUAAAAUAAUUUUAAUCUUAUAAAAUCAAUGUAAACUGCCAGAAAGUAAUUUAAAAUUGAGUCUUUAGGAUGCUUAUUUUGGCUUUUUUGGUUUUGUUCAUACAAAGUUUUGUAUGUACGUUGCUUAAAAAAAUUUAUAAUUGAUAAACUAUCUAGUUUGGAUCUUUGGAUUGUUAAUAGACUAGCAAUUGGAUAUUUUUCUAUAAAUAAUAUCAGUAGAAACAAAAUGCAAAUAAAAUGGACAAAGGUGGGUUUUUUUUUGUUUUUUUUUUUUUUUUCUAAAGUACUGUUGUUACCCAUAUUGUAAUGUAUUUUUGUCAUUUUGUAUUUUGGAACACUGUGAAAUAAGUUGUAUUUUUUUUUCAGUUUGUAUUUUGGAACUCUGAAAUUAGUUUUUAAAACUUUUAUCAGUCCAAUAUUGGAAUUAGUAGGUCUAAAAGGACUGAAAAGCAGUUUUGUGUGACCUUACCUAUAAAUGUAAAAUUAUCUUGCCUUAUCAUAGAGAAAUUUACUAAUCAAUGCAAAUUAUGUUACAAAUCAAUGCAAUUUAUUUGUUAAUUAUUUUUGUCUUUAUUCUUACAAUUAUAACAUAUAUGAAGGGGUGUUAAG